GCCGCUGUAGCUCAGUGGUAGAGCGCACCCUUGGUAAGGGUGAGGUCGCGAGUUCAAGUCUCGCCAGCGGCU
rnacentral:tRNA from 2 species